GCCUCAUCUACAUAGAAGUCGCCCUGUCCGUGAUGUCACCGACAGUGCCUUGCCCAGUCCCCGUCUGCCUUUCUGCCACUCAACCGACCAAUCUGCUGCCAGAGCCGCCAAGGGGAAGUGACGUCUGCCUCUCCCUUUUUCCCUCCCGCCCCUGCGUCUGUUCUCUCCCAAAGAAGCUGGUCCUUAGCCUGUGUUAAGGAGCAACCUUUCGGUGGCCAGAUGGAGCCGGGGCAUCCUUCUUCAAAUAAUGGCUUUUAAUUCGCAGACUAGAAUGUUUCGGAUUACAAAAGAAACCGGUUCUCUUCACAUCCUUAUCCUUGUGAUGCAGCAUUCCGCUUGCAAUUGGAAGCCGUUUAAUAUCAGAGAGAAACCAUAUUUAUGAAAGUAAAGAGGCUGCUUAGAUGACUGCAAACCAGCCGUCCUUACUGGUUUUAUCACUGGUAAUGUUAUAAAGACAGUUGUCCAGUUUCAUGAAUCUUGUAGGUUUUUUUUUUUUUGAUGUUGUUUUUUUUUUCAAAAAUCCGUAUUGUAGAAAAAUAUGCUGUCCCAGAAGAGAUGAUUGGACACUCUCAAGCGUGGUGCUGGACUUUGUCAUCUCUUGCACAGCCAUCUCCACACCUUAGUGCUUACCUCAUGUUAGUUUUUUAUAUUCUGCAAAGACGAAACCAAAAUAAUCCAAAUUUGACACAAAUACCUGGGCUACAUCUUAUUUGAGAUGUUUAACAAAUGUCUGGAUCAUCUUUUCUUAUAUAUUACGCAGGAAACACUGUGAAGUAAGCAAAGUUGGAAUGCCCAAGUGAAAGACCAUUUGAAUAUUUACAAGUAGAUUUCAGACAGGAAUACUACAGGGUGGUCACAGGAUAACAAAUUCUAGGCAGCAGAUUUACAUGACUUGAGGCUGUGGGCUGUUAAGACGCUGAAAAACCAGGGUGUGGACCAAGCUGGCUAAGGCUGAGUGGACCCAACGUGGUGCUGGAUUGGAUGGAGGUUUUACCUAGGCCCUCAUUAUAUGCUCAUUAACAUACUAAAUCACACACCCGCCAGUGCCAUGACAGUUCUGAGACCAGUGUUUGAUGUAAAAAUGGCACCACAGUUCCAAGAAAUCUCCACCUUUACCCAGGAAUUUUCGUGAAUAUUCCAAUUCUUGGUUAAAGAAACCCAUCAAGAUGAAACCCCAGAACCCAUUAUUCUCUCUUGGGUAUGCCCAAGCUCCCCUUUCUUGAGUGUGUACUUUUUGCUUUGCAAUAAAUCUCUUCUUUCACUAUCUGCUGACUCAUCUUUGACUUUGUUCUCACGAUGGUGUCAAGAGCCUGGACACCACGGCUGGGGUCGAGAUCCCACCAGUGUCCAGGGACCUCCCCCAGCCCACCAGUAUCAGAUUCUAUUCCAUUGCUCAAAUCACAAAACAUCGAGUGGAGAGUUCUCCUUGGAGAUCAUAAAGUAAAGAUUCUGUGGCAUGGUGGCCAGUUAGGCCACUGGAAGCAUGGCAAAAUAUUGAAAAUGAGGGAUUAGGUGACAGUGUAGUAACUGCUGAAUACUAAAUACUUGAUCCAGGCCCCAUUCCCUGGAGAUUGACAGGGAGACACAUUGUCCAGGUAGUAGUGGAGAAAUGUUUUCUGGGUAUCUGACCAGCCUUUGUGGAAAGAACUGGCACCAUCCUGCAGAUGUAACCGCCUGAUGGGUUCUUCCUGACCAAUGUACACAAAAACUCAAUUCAUGGAGACCAUGGCACUGCAGGAAACGGUUUCAUUGACACAGGCCAGCCACGACAUGUGGGAGACAGAGUUAUUACUCAAAGCAAUCUCACUGAAGGCUUGGAGGUAACAACUAAUGUUGGAAUUAUGAAAAGCUCUUCUCUACUUUUAACAAAGCUUAGUCACAAACAGUUCCCCAGUUGAUGAGAAAAACUAAAACAACAGAACAAUUGAAAGUCCGAAUCUGCAAGUUCAUCUCUGAGAACCGAAUUUUACAGCCACUCCAGAUUUGUACUCCAAAUGGAUAGUUUGAUUGUAGAAAUCACUUCCCUUCAGUCUGCCAAUGUGAUAACUGCCCAAGAGAAAGUGAUGCCUACAUUCGUAGAUAAUCCCCUUUCCCCCAUCCUAUAUAUAACUGGAGUCAACAGUAGCUGGAGGAAAAUGGCAAGAACUUGGAAUCAAGAUUAGGUUAGAAUAACACUGCUGUAGACAGUUUAUCAGCUCUUCAGCAUAUGUCCAUUUUCCUUGAAGGAUGAGCCUUUAGAAACCUCUGACAAUAAAGUUUAUUUUACAUCCAUUCCCUUGCCUAUGAUUUUUUCAUACAAAUCACAAUUAUAAAACUUUCUUGCUCCAGCUAAAAGCAAGAAACUCAAUCAUGAAUGUGUUCACUAAAUAUAUACCACAGAAUGAUAGCAACCAGUCUGAAUGCAUCACUUGAUUCCAAAAUUAAAUGUUAGCCCUCAGUGGUGCAACUACAUGUAUCUCCAACUCUGGAAGCCACAGGCAACAUAUUCCUGUUUCCUUGCAGGGAAACAGAUCUAUAAGCAGGGCGGCAGUCUCACACAUGUACAUUCCUGGGAAACCCAAGGAAACAAUGAUAGUGACGCAGGGCAGGCAAGCCCCCAAACUGAAAGAGUUUUGCUAAUGUCGCGAUUGGCUUUCUAUGUUAUUUGAAGACUGAGAUCUCCAUGAGGAAUGAAGACAGGUAAUGCCUAAGGCUGAGGCAUGACCUCACUGGGUCACCUUAGCUGUGAAGUGAGGUCAGUUGUCACCUUGCAAACCUUUUGGUAAUCCAAAUCUUGGAAUGAUUUCUUUAAGAAUUUAGACACUUCCAGUACUUUUCCUGUCCUUGUGGGGAAAGCUUCUAUCCACCUGGUGAAAGUGUCUAUAAAUACUAGCAAAUCUUGUAGUUCCCUGUAAGGUGGCAUCUGGGUUAAGUCUGUCUGCCAGUCUUCACCAUGGUAUGUUCCUUGGUGUUGUACAGGUUUAAGCAGGGAUCGGGGUAUGGGGUGGCUUCCUGAGUGGUAACCCUUUUUAUAGUUUAGAACAGUCCCUUCCCGAAGAAUAUUUAGGAAACUAAUUUGAAUGGAAAAUCCCGUCCCAAAUGUGAGGAAUCAUGAAAAUGUUUAAUUAUUUCCCAUCUGUCAGCCUCAGGAAUAGAGUUUGUUCUUUUGUAGCAACCAUCCAGAGGGGUCUCCCUGGAAGCCUUUUACUCAGUCCCUUUAAUUUCCUUAGGGGUAUAGUAUGGUGUCACUGACACGGAUGCAGUACCUGGUAGUAGCGCAGCAGCUUGAAAUACCAGGGUUUCCUUAGUUGUGGCCUUAGCUGCUCUUUCCACCAGGGAAUUUCCUCUAAUAAUAAAAGUGUCUCCCUUCUGGUGUCCCCUGCAGUGAGUAAUUGUUAUUUCUUUGGGAGUUGGACAGCAUCUAAAAGUUCCAAGAUCUGAGUAAAGUCGUAUGGGGGAUCCCUUGGCUCUUGAUAGUCCCCUUUCCUUCCCUAUGGCUGCAUGAGCAUGGAGCACCAGGAACCCAUAUUUAGAGUCAGUCAACACAUUGACUCUUGAGGGUUCAUCCUCCCCGCAGGCAACUGGAGAUGUAUUGUCCCCAGAGGGUACAAUAGAGAAUCUUCCGUCACAAGUCAGCAACCAGCAUAUGUGAGUGACAGCAUGUGUCCCACUCAGAAAUGAGAGUGUAUUAGUCCGUUUUCAUGCUGCUGACAAAUACAUAACAGAGUCCAGGACCAAAAAGAGGUUUAAUUGGACUUACAUUUCCAUAUGACUGGGGAGGCCUCAGAAUCAUGGCGGGAGGCAAAAGGCACUUCUUACAAGGCAGCAGCAAGAGAAAAUGAGGAAGAAGCCAAAGCAGAAACCCCUGAGAAACCCAUCAGAUAGUGAGACUUACUGGCUAUCAGGAGAAUAGCACAGGAAAGACCCGCCCCCAUGAUUCAAUUACCUCCUCCUAAGUCCCUCCCACAACACAUGGGAAUUCUGGGAGAUACAAUUCAAGUUGAGAUUUGGGUGAGGGCACGGCCAAACCAUGUCAGAAAGGGAUGAAGUGACAGCAUAUCCUGAUGUGUGUGAUGGUUUCAUGAGUUAUUAUCUAUUUCAAAAUUUAUUGCAAUGUGUGGAAAAGAACAAGGACUUGUACUAUCUGACUUUAAGGUUUACUAUAAGCUAU
rnacentral:lncRNA from 1 species